AGUCGAGGGGCAUCAGGGUGUAGCAAUACACCGCUGGCGACCGGCGCACGGGUGAGUAACACGUAUCCAACCUGCCCUUUACUCGGGGAUAGCCUUUCGAAAGAAAGAUUAAUACCCGAUGGCAUAACAUGACCUCCUGGUUUUGUUAUUAAAGAAUUUCGGUAGAGGAUGGGGAUGCGUUCCAUUAGGCAGUUGGCGGGGUAACGGCCCACCAAACCUUCGAUGGAUAGGGGUUCUGAGAGGAAGGUCCCCCACAUUGGAACUGAGACACGGCCCAAACUCCUACGGGAGGCAGCAGUGAGGAAUAUUGGUCAAUGGGCGAGAGCCUGAACCAGCCAAGUAGCGUGAAGGAUGACCGCCCUAUGGGUUGUAAACUUCUUUUAUAUGGGAAUAAAGUCUGCCACGUGUGGCAUUUUGUAUGUACCAUAUGAAUAAGGAUCGGCUAACUCCGUGCCAGCAGCCGCGGUAAUACGGAGGAUCCGAGCGUUAUCCGGAUUUAUUGGGUUUAAAGGGAGCGUAGGUGGACAUGUAAGUCAGUUGUGAAAGUUUGCGGCUCAACCGUAAAAUUGCAGUUGAUACUGCGUGUCUUGAGUACAGUAGAGGUGGGCGGAAUUCGUGGUGUAGCGGUGAAAUGCUUAGAUAUCACGAAGAACUCCGAUUGCGAAGGCAGCUCACUGGACUGCAACUGACACU
rnacentral:rRNA from 1 species